UCAUCGCUCUUCUCGUCGUCGUCUGUUGCAGACGUUCCCAGGUUGAGGUGUGAAACUGAGAAUCUCCUGCUUCACUGUUGUGCUGUUGUUGAUUUGACAAACUGGACGUCACUUCCCUUCAGCUCUGGAGUCUGGAGCUGAUAAAAGACGAUGGAGAGACUUGUGUUCUGCAAACACAAACACUCUUGCAUUGUGUAACUUUUCAGAUGGCAGGUCAAUCAAAUGCUUUUCUCCAUUUCUCCCAUUUCUGUAUUUUUGUUGUGUAGUGCUACGGUAGUUUUACACUGAACCCAAUUGUGAACUAUGAGAUGAUUUUAUUUUGUAAAUACUUAGAGGAAACAAACUGUUUUUAUUAGGGCCCAAAUGAUAUAACUGUUGGCCGAUAAUAUCGGCUCUUUGAAACAUAUCGGCGAUCAGUCUAAAUCUUACCGAUAUUUCACAUGGGCCUGUUAUACCACGUUAUAAAGCUCAGACUUCUACAUUCUGUUCAGUUUACAGACAGAUAAAUGUCUUAAUAUUUGACUCCACAUCAGUAUUUAUCUGCAGAGUUAUUUGUCUGUGUGUGUGUGUGUGUGUGGUUAUACCAGGUGCUUUUAUUAUGACGGUGCCACUACUUCCUGUAGAGACGCUCAGUUCCUCUCAGUUGUUCGCAGCAGCAGCAGCAGCAGCAGCAGCAGCAGCAGCAGCAGCAGCAGCAGCAGCAGCAGCAGCAGCAGCAGCAGCAGCAGCAGCAGCAGCAGCAGCAGCAGCAGCAGCAGCAGCAGCAGCAGCAGCAGCAGCAGCAGCAGCAGCACAAACUUCAUACUGACUUUAUUCAGACGUUGAUUGUGAUUUUUAAGGCCUUUGCCGUUGUUCCUGUUGGUAAAACAUGUGAGAUAUUGUUUUUAUAUGUGAAUGCAUUACUUACAAGACGUACUGUUAGAGUGAAUUUGUACUAGAAAGCAAGUCUCAUGUGUCUGUGCCUCUUUAUUUCUCUGCACGUGUGUGUGGAGCUGUGACACUUGGACGCUGCACUUUGAUAUUUUUUGUGUUUCACAAAGGUUUUUGAGCAUCAUAUUGUACAUCAACACCAAAUGUUAUUUUUCAUAUAUUGUAUUUGGUAUAACGUGUACCGUUUGUACAUGAUUUAUUGUUCUUUUAAAAAUAUAAAAUAGCCAUGAUUGGGGGAUUUACUUGUAGAAAUGUAAAACUAUACGAUCACACUGUAAAAAUAAUUUAUUGUACUUAAUAAUAUUGUUAUUAGACGUGAGUUGGUCAGAGGAGAGCAGAGGGACACGUGUGUGGAGCUGUGACACUUGGAGUCUGUACUUUGAUAUUUUUGUGUUUCACAGUAAAUCUCCUGAAUGGUAAAA